ensembl:lncRNA
AUUUGGAGCACAGGAGGCAGCUUUGGAGCCAACCUGGCACCAGGAGUGGACACUUGAACACAACUGUUUCCGUGUGGCUAAAUUACAGUAUCAAAGCGAGGGGCCCUGACUGGAGUUGGUGGGACGCGGGGAUGUUUCCAUGCACAUGGUGAGCUCUCCCACCCAGAGCAAGGUCUAUGUCAAUGGGAACCUCUUCACCAGGACGUGUCAGAGGAGCUGGUGGGAUUUGCCUCUGCACUGGAGCAUCUUGGAGUCCAACACCCUCCCUACACCCCAUCAGAGUCACAUCAAAGAGCACAGCCCUUUGUUUGGACCCUGUUUGAUGUUCGCUGCUAAUUUUUUUGGUAUGCAUGCAAGCAGUGUUUGACUCGUGCUUGUUCCCAUAAUAAACACUCA